rnacentral:rRNA from 1 species
CAAGUCGAGCGAGAACCAGACCUUCGGGUCUGGGGACAGCGGCGAACGGGUGAGUAACACGUGGGUAAUCAACCCUCGGUACUGGGAUAGCCCGGGGAAACCCGGAUUAAUACCGGAUGGCCCUUCGGAUCUUCGGUUCUGAAGGAAAAGGUAGCUUCGGCCUCCGACCGAGGACGAGCCCCCGGCGGAUUAGCUUGUUGGUGGGGUAACGGCCUACCAAGGCGGCGAUCCGUAGCUGGUCUGAGAGGACGAUCAGCCACACUGGGACUGAGACACGGCCCAGACUCCUACGGGAGGCAGCAGUGGGGAAUCUUGCGCUAAUGCGGGAAACCGUGACGCAGCGACGCCGCGUGAGGGAAGAAGGCCUUCGGGUUGUAAACCUCUUUCAGGAGGGACGAAGCUACUCGGGUUAAUAGCCCAGAGGGUGACGGUACCUCCAGAAGAAGCCCCGGCUAACUACGUGCCAGCAGCCGCGGUAAUACGUAGGGGGCAAGCGUUGUCCGGAUUUAUUGGGCGUAAAGAGCGUGUAGGCGGCUUUGCAAGUCCGUUGUGAAAACUCGAGGCUCAACCUCGAGACGCCGGUGGAAACUGCAAAGCUAGAGUCCGGAAGAGGAGAGUGGAAUUCCUGGUGUAGCGGUGAAAUGCGCGGAUAUCAGGAAGAACACCCGUGGCGAAGGCGGCUCUCUGGGACGGUACUGACGCUGAGACGCGAAAGCGUGGGGAGCGAACAGGAUUAGAUACCCUGGUAGUCCACGCCGUAAACGAUGGGUGCUAGGUGUGGGCGGUGUCGACUCCGUCCGUGCCGAAGCUAACGCAUUAAGCACCCCG